rnacentral:rRNA from 1 species
GAGUUUGAUCAUGGCUCAGAUUGAACGCUGGCGGCAGGCCUAACACAUGCAAGUCGAACGGUAACAGGAAGCAGCUUGCUGCUUUGCUGACGAGUGGCGGACGGGUGAGUAAUGUCUGGGAAACUGCCUGAGGGAGGGGGAUAACUACUGGAAACGGUAGCUAAUACCGCAUAACGUCGCAAGACCAAAGAGGGGGACCUUCGGGCCUCUUGCCAUCGGAUGUGCCCAGAUGGGAUUAGCUAGUAGGUGGGGUAAAGGCUCACCUAGGCGACGAUCCCUAGCUGGUCUGAGAGGAUGACCAGCCACACUGGAACUGAGACACGGUCCAGACUCCUACGGGAGGCAGCAGUGGGGAAUAUUGCACAAUGGGCGCAAGCCUGAUGCAGCCAUGCCGCGUGUAUGAAGAAGGCCUUCGGGUUGUAAAGUACUUUCAGCGGGGAGGAAGGGAGUAAAGUUAAUACCUUUGCUCAUUGACGUUACCCGCAGAAGAAGCACCGGCUAACUCCGUGCCAGCAGCCGCGGUAAUACGGAGGGUGCAAGCGUUAAUCGGAAUUACUGGGCGUAAAGCGCACGCAGGCGGUUUGUUAAGUCAGAUGUGAAAUCCCCGGGCUCAACCUGGGAACUGCAUCUGAUACUGGCAAGCUUGAGUCUCGUAGAGGGGGGUAGAAUUCCAGGUGUAGCGGUGAAAUGCGUAGAGAUCUGGAGGAAUACCGGUGGCGAAGGCGGCCCCCUGGACGAAGACUGACGCUCAGGUGCGAAAGCGUGGGGAGCAAACAGGAUUAGAUACCCUGGUAGUCCACGCCGUAAACGAUGUCGACUUGGAGGUUGUGCCCUUGAGGCGUGGCUUCCGGAGCUAACGCGUUAAGUCGACCGCCUGGGGAGUACGGCCGCAAGGUUAAAACUCAAAUGAAUUGACGGGGGCCCGCACAAGCGGUGGAGCAUGUGGUUUAAUUCGAUGCAACGCGAAGAACCUUACCUGGUCUUGACAUCCACGGAAGUUUUCAGAGAUGAGAAUGUGCCUUCGGGAACCGUGAGACAGGUGCUGCAUGGCUGUCGUCAGCUCGUGUUGUGAAAUGUUGGGUUAAGUCCCGCAACGAGCGCAACCCUUAUCCUUUGUUGCCAGCGGUCCGGCCGGGAACUCAAAGGAGACUGCCAGUGAUAAACUGGAGGAAGGUGGGGAUGACGUCAAGUCAUCAUGGCCCUUACGACCAGGGCUACACACGUGCUACAAUGGCGCAUACAAAGAGAAGCGACCUCGCGAGAGCAAGCGGACCUCAUAAAGUGCGUCGUAGUCCGGAUUGGAGUCUGCAACUCGACUCCAUGAAGUCGGAAUCGCUAGUAAUCGUGGAUCAGAAUGCCACGGUGAAUACGUUCCCGGGCCUUGUACACACCGCCCGUCACACCAUGGGAGUGGGUUGCAAAAGAAGUAGGUAGCUUAACCUUCGGGAGGGCGCUUACCACUUUGUGAUUCAUGACUGGGGUGAAGUCGUAACAAGGUAACCGUAGGGGAACCUGCGGUUGGAUCACC